rnacentral:lncRNA from 7 species
AAUUCACUGAGGAGGAGGCAUGACCACCAGAGGUCCUCGCUGAAAACUCUUGGAUCUUCUAGAACACCUACCCGCGCAGACAGAGCUGGGAGGGGAAAGAAUCACACAGGGCAAUGCUAGCUGAAAAUCAAGGUGUCAAAACAGGAGGAAUGAGGCAACCCAGCAGUGGUCAGCAUUACCUAACCACUAUGCUGUGGACAUGCAUCCUGCUUUCUCAAGUGCUCAGGCUGUGCCCUCAGAUGACACAAAGUGGAAAUGGUGUCCAACUCGAGCUGCUCAUCACCAAAACAUGGUGCUGGAAGCAACCAGGCCUUCUGAGGUCCUCCUGCCCACCGGAGUGCUAUGUGCAGCCUUAGGGACACAGAUAUUGCUGGAGCAGAGCUUGAUGCUGUGGUGGUGGAUACUGCACCAUCCAAAACCUCCACCCUUCAAAGCAAGCCAUACAGUAGUGGAACAGCUUCUACCUACUGCUCUCCCACACUGGGGUGGGAAGAAACCAGGAGGAUGGGGACAAGUGGCUGAGAGAGCUUUGCAAGGAGCAACUGCAUGUGAGGAGGAGUCUUGCUUGGCAAAAGAUGGUGCUAAACCGCAAGUCCUGGCUUGACAAACAUUUUCCACUAGCAAAACCUAGAAUUUCUGAAGAACUCUCUCAGGUGCACCAUGGCAGCUGGUUGCCUUGCCUUACAACAGAGCACAACAAAUACUGGCAUUUAUCCCAUAUGUGAAUCGUUCCAAUUUGGGAAGGAUACAUUUCACAAUAUUGAAGUUAACUGACUGGAAGACAUCAAGCAUUUUGAAUUGGUUGUGUCAAAACAUUUCAUUCUGAUAUUCAGCCAAGAUGAAUUGUUUACACAUUAACAGAUUGAGAUGGC